AUUGGAAAUAAGAGGUCUCAAAACCGUACAUAAGUUCCCAAACCCAAACUAAGGUUACCAGCCGAAAUGUACUCGAUGGUAUAAAAAAUUGAGUCACUUGCUCGGCAGAUGACUUCGUUGCGUGGACUUGCAGAGAUAUUUUGGUGUAUGGAGAAAAAAUUGUACUUUUGUAUAGAAGUAAUAUAAUACUUUUGUCGUCUCCGGCUUUUGUGCAAUUAACUAUUCCUAAUAUAGAAAACUUUUGGUAGCGAACAGAUAAUUAUUGGCAUGAUAGAUGGAUCACCUUUUGAUGCCGUACAGAUAUAUGAUUUUUUGUCGUGAUGCAUAGAUGUAUUUUUAGCUUGGUACAUACAUCACUUUUUGUCGUGGUACAGAUUACGAUGGUAAUUUGUACCAUGCCAAAUGGUCAUUUCACAUGGUAUAGUAAAUGUAAUUUUUGUAUAUGAAGGGUUUUACUUUUUGUAUGAUUGUAUAUGUUGUAUGAAAUUAUUAUUUUAGUUUGGACAAUAGUUCGUUUGUAUGUACUUGGACAGUUAAAGUAAUUUAUUUUUUGUAUA